rnacentral:rRNA from 1 species
AGCAGCAGCCGCGGGAAUACGUAGGUGGCAAGCGUUGUCCGGAAUUAUUGGGCGUAAAGCGCGCGCAGGUGGUUUAAUAAGUCUGAUGUGAAAGCCCCCGGCUCAACCGGGGAGGGUCAUUGGAAACUGGGAAACUUGAGUGCAGAAGAGGAGAGUGGAAUUCCACGUGUAGCGGUGAAAUGCGUAGAGAUGUGGAGGAACCCCAGUGGCGAAGGCGACUCUCUGGUCUGUAACUGACGCUGAGGAGCGAAGGCGUGGGGAGCGAACAGGAUUAGAUAUCCCCGUAGUCCCUGUCUCUUAUAC